AUGAGGUGGUUACUGCCCUGGACGCUGGUGGCAGUGGCAGCAGCAGCUGCAGCGGGCAGCACCUUGGCCACGGCCCUCCCUCCAGCUCCCACAGCCGCGGGCCCCACCCCGGCCCCGCGGGAGGACACCUCCUCACGGCCCCAGUUCUGCAAGUGGCCGUGCGAGUGCCCGGCGGCCCCGCCCCGCUGCCCGCUGGGCGUCAGCCUCGUCACGGACGGCUGCGAGUGCUGUAAGGCGUGUGCCCAACAGCUGGGGGACAACUGCACAGAGGCUGCGGUCUGCGACCCCCACCGGGGCCUCUACUGCGACUACAGUGGGGACCACCCGAGGUACGCAGUAGGAGUAUGUGCACAGGUGGUCGGCGUGGGCUGCGUGCUGGACGGCGUGCGCUACAACAACGGCCAGUCCUUCCAGCCCAACUGCAAGUACAACUGCACGUGCGUGGGCGGCGCGGUGGGCUGCACGCCGCUGUGCCUCCGCGCGCGCCCCCCGCGCCUCUGGUGCCGCCGGCCCCGCCGGGUGAGCUUGCCCGGGCGCUGCUGCGAGCAGUGGGUGUGUGAAGACGACGCCAGGAGGCCCCGCAAGACAGCGCCGCGCCACACGGGCACCUCCGGGAGCACAGGUGAGAUAGAGCCGUGGCACAAGAACUGCAUUGCGUACACCAGCCCCUGGAGCCCCUGUUCCACCAGCUGCGGCCUGGGGGUCUCCACCCGCGUCUCCAACGUCAAUGCCCGUUGCUGGCCUGAGCAGGAAAGCCGCCUCUGCAACCUGCGGCCGUGUGACGUGGACCUCCGGCCACACAUCAAGGAAGGGAAGAAGUGUCUGGCCGUGUACCAGCCAGAAGCGCCCGUGAACUUCACGCUGGCCGGCUGCACCAGCACACGCGCCUACCGGCCCAAGUACUGUGGGGUCUGCACCGACAGCCGGUGCUGUAUCCCCUACAAGUCCAAGACCAUCAGCAUCUCCUUCCAGUGUCCCGAUGGGCCCGACUUCUCCCGCCAGGCCCUGUGGAUUAACGCUUGCUUCUGCAAUCUGAGCUGUCAGAAUCCCAACGAUAUUUUUGCCGACUUGGACUCCUACCCAGACUUCUCAGAGAUUGCCAAUUAAGCAGCCACAGAACCUGGGCUCGAGGCCGACCCAGAGCUUAUAAAGCAGCCAGCCUUCUGAGGCCCCCACUGAGCCUUCUUUUGUCCACUUUCCACUCGUUUCCAAUGACCCAGAUCCAGGCCCAGGCCCGUGACCCCUUGUCCUGUCUCUGCCCACCCAAAGCACCCAUCAUGGCACGCUCAGGCCCAGACAGUGGGUCUUCUCCUUGGCAGCAGUCCACAUACGCUCCAAAGAAAGUGCCCGGCUCUGGACAAUACCCGAGCCCGAUCCGGCCUGUCUGAGUCCCUGGAAGUCCUGCUGGAUCUCGCCCAAGUCCCAAGGAACAGAAUCAGCUAGAUCUUCAGUAUCAUUAAUUCCUUCUUUAGAUACCAAACCACCAAACUCUCUGGGUCCAUUCAGAAGGAUAGAGGGGAUUUAGGACAGUGGAGCUGUCCAUUCUUCAGGCCAAGGAGGACCCUAAUUAGCAGUUCUGACCACUGCACACCAAAGCUGUGUCUCA
rnacentral:lncRNA from 1 species